rnacentral:rRNA from 1 species
UACGGAGGGUGCAAACGUUGCUCGGAAUCAUUGGGCGUAAAGCGCACGUAGGCGGUCCAGCAAGUCGGGUGUGAAAGCCCUCGGCUUAACCGAGGAAGUGCAUUCGAAACUACUGGGCUUGAGUACUGAAGAGGAUCGCGGAAUUCCCGGUGUAGAGGUGAAAUUCGUAGAUAUCGGGAGGAACACCAGUGGCGAAGGCGGCGAUCUGGGCAGAUACUGACGCUGAUGUGCGAAAGCGUGGGGAGCAAACAGGG